rnacentral:rRNA from 1 species
AUUGAACGCUGGCGGCAUGCUUUACACAUGCAAGUCGAACGGUAACAGCACUUCGGUGGCUGACGAGUGGCGCACGGGUGAGUAAUACAUCGGAACGUGCCUAGUAGUGGGGGAUAACUACUCGAAAGAGUAGCUAAUACCGCAUGAGAUCUAAGGAUGAAAGCAGGGGACCUUCGGGCCUCGCGCUACUAGAGCGGCUGAUGGCAGAUUAGGUAGUUGGUGGGAUAAAAGCUUACCAAGCCGACGAUCUGUAGCUGGUCUGAGAGGACGACCAGCCACACUGGGACUGAGACACGGCCCAGACUCCUACGGGAGGCAGCAGUGGGGAAUUUUGGACAAUGGGCACAAGCCUGAUCCAGCAAUGCCGCGUGCAGGAUGAAGGCCUUCGGGUUGUAAACUGCUUUUGUACGGAACGAAAAGCCCUCUUCUAAUACAGGAGGGUCAUGACGGUACCGUAAGAAUAAGCACCGGCUAACUACGUG